AGAAGUGCAAAUAACUUUCUCAAGGUUUAUUUCUUCUUUAUGCAGUCAUAUAUAUUAAUCAAGGAACUAAAUGGCUUUAUUAUCAAUAGUCAUAAUUUGAAACCAAAUAAGUGUCAGAUGUAUAAAUAGGCAUAUAUAUAUUAGCAGUGUUGUGAAAGGUGUGCCUGAGGCGCAAGGUGCUCAGGGACCUAGGGGCUGCACAUCGCCCUAAGAAAGGGGCUUGACCUCACCUAGGUGUAAUGAGGUGCAAGGCGAGCCCAAGCUCACUUGGGUGAGGUGGGGAAGAAGAA
rnacentral:misc_RNA from 1 species